UUUAAUUCUGAAUGGAACAAAAUGUGAAUGAGUUAUAAAUAAUAUAUAAAUGAUUGAAUAUUCUUUAUUUAGUUUUUCUUUAUUCUCAAUUCUUCCAGAGACCGCUAUAUGCUCUGGGACUAUUAUACUAGUCCCAGAUAUGCUCUGAGAAUAAUGUCCCUGCAUGAUUCUUCAUAAUUUAAAUAUACUCAAUUAUUCUCUAUGAUCCUUCAUUCUAUAUUUUUGCUUUCCAACUAUCUAAUUUUUUUGUCCUUAUUUAAAUCCCCAUAUUUGAUACCAGACUAACUCUCAUAUAUUAUAUAUACGUAAAUGUACGCAAGCUUGGCACGUCGAAUACGGAAACCCGGAAAUCUUUUCACCGUUGCCGUUUUCAUACUAUGACGCAAAAUCCAUGGACGCUCGUCUGCUGCUGAAUUCAAGUUUUACUGUUUAAAAGAUCUUAAAAGGAAUGGACAAAGAUAGUCAGAUAGUUGAUACAAAGACCUUUGGUUUUUCAAACUGAUGGGUCAAAAAGUUAUUAUAAACAGAUAUAUUGAAAUGGGUUACAUUGUCGAUUAACUGGAAGAAUCCGGGGAACGAAACAAUACAUUAGAAAGUCAACACAACAAAAGUGUUUCGUUUUGAUGGAUUACGUACCAAUUUAUUGUACUUGGAAAGCGCAAUGAAAGCUUUUUAAAUGAAAGUACAAUUACUUUGAGAAGUAGGAGAAGCUAAGCAACAGAACAGAAUUCAUUUGAGGCAUUGCUUUCUAGAUUAUAUAGUGGAGUCAUAGAUCGUCCUAUUGAUUUAUGUGCACAUGAGGAGCAGUAGUCAAUGAAUAAUUUUGUGAUGAGAGCAGUACAUUGUAUUACAACAAAUGGACAGAGGAGUUGACUAUUGAUAGUGACUGAUAAUGGACUUGAGUAACCUAGGGCCCAAUGACUCCAUGCCUGACAGUUCAUGUGUACAUAAUUAGCUCCUCAGAUGUAAGUGGAAGGGAAGCUAUAUACAUUAUAUGUUUAAAUGAAAUUAACAACAGGAUUAGAUAUUGAGGAGAUCCUAUAGCUACAGUAUAUAUAAAUGUAACUGCAACUGUAUUCCAAGAAAUUGAUGGCUGAUAAUGUAUUACAGGAUUUUAUCAUUCAAGCAACAUCUUAGAAGGAUAUGUGCAAAUGUAUGAAGGAAUCCUUGGGUACAAAUAGCAAUUACAUGCAGGAGAGAACUCUUAAACAUUACUAACAGACAUGUAGUCAUUAUAUGGGAGUGGUGUAUUCAAGAAAUCUAAAACACAUGGAAUUAUAUAUAUUUUCAACCACAAGUACUCUCAGAAUAUAAUACAAUUCAAAUUCAAAUUAUUGUGCCAACAUGACAAUUACAGUCUAAAAAUGGAAAAUACAUGUUUUAAAACUGAAUUUUAUAUAAAUAUUUGAAAUAACAAGAAUUUUUAGUUUAUUGUGCAGCCAAACUUUGAGAUCUUCUAAUGGUAUAUGCCUGUUGUUUGUCAACAUUUGUUUUCUUUUUGCCUUAACCUUAAGAUUGGUGUUAAAAUGAAAAACUGAAAUACAUAUAUGAAAUAAGAAGGAAAUGGUUGUAAAUAACAGCAAGACUUUCAAUAGGGUAUAUCAAAAUAUAUUUCACAGAACGUUCUAUUUCAGUUUAUUAAUACAAUGAGAUAUGAGGUAUAAAUAAAUCAGACAGCUAUACAACAAAAACACAUGAAAGGCAUUAAGGUGCUAACAUACAGUCCUUACCAAUGAACAGGUGUCUAAACAAUGUCAUGAUCUACUUAAUUAACCAGAGUCUAUACCAAUCAAAGAGCUGCCAUCAACACCAAAUUCUUUAAAUAUUUUUUUUUAUUAGGAUGCGACUUUAGACAACCACUGAAAAGGUUCCUGGCUUGAAACAGGCACAUGAAUAUGUGGCAGGGUGAACUACUUUUUUUCUUCAAAACUUUCAAAAGAAAAAAUUGCAUCUUUUGCAAGUAAGACAAUUUCCAUAACGUGAUUGGAUUGUCUGAUGACUGAUAACCACAAAAUGACUUGUACAUACAUAUUAAAAAUGAAAUAUACGUCAGUGCAUACAUAUUCUAUAAAUGAAUCACCAAUCCUUACAUCACUUUUAAAAAAAGUAUUGAGACUUGAACAUAACCGAAAAAAUUCUAGGAAUGAACUAAGGUGACCUGGAUAUUUGCUUGCCUUCUUUGUUUUAUUGCAUCUUAUCUCUUGCAUUGGAGAUAUUGUGAGUUGGGAGUUGAUAGAUAAAUAUUUUUUGUAUUGUUUAGGAUCAAGAAAGUAAAAUAUAAUGGAAGUAUGAACACAUAAUCAAGACCAAGAAGAAUAUUUAUAUAUAUCAAAAUAGAAUGUGUACUAGAUUAGCAUUAACUGAUCUAAAAUAUGCUCAAAUACUGUGAAUUUGUGUGAUUGAUGCUCAAUUCACCUUAAUUUCAUUUUAAAAAAAUUAACAUGAAAGCUUGAUUCACGUUAGUUUCACAUGAAAAAUUUAACAUUAAUUGCACGAGAGUUUUAUGUAUAAGCUUGUUUGAGGUGAAUCUUACAUGAAAUUUACGUGAACAAAAUUUGCCUGUGUAUAUAUAGAGAAAACACAUGUAUAACGCAUGUGUGAGAAAUUGCAUGUAAUUCACAUGAGAACUGAGAUACAUGUCAAUAAUCAUGGUAAUUGGACAAAUAGGAGGACAUUUUGAAAAAUAUUUAAUACAGGCACCAUGCCUUUUACAUGUAGUAAUCACGCAUGUAUCACAGGUGUAUUUCCUUACGCAUGUAAUUCACAUGUGAAACGCAUGAUCACAUGUGUGUAUCAUGCGUAUCACAUGUGUUUUUCACACAUGUGUCACAUGCGUGGCAUGAAACGUCUCUUUCACAUGCGUGUGACACGCAUGUGAAACGCAUGUGUCACGCAUGUACACAUGUGUGGCAUUUUUGCCAGUGU